UUAACUCAUCAGUUUGUGUGCUUAAAUCUGAAAAAUGUUGAACAAAUAUGUUGCAUCUGUUUUAUCCAUUAUUAUACUCGUAAUGCUAGGGCAAUUACAGAUUUGUUCAGGCGAAUGUUUAUUUUUGCAACAAUGUUUGGAAAAUAAAGGUGUAGACUUUUCUGGUUUAACGAUUUCGUUCAGCACAGAAUACAGCAUAAGAAAAAGCUGGGAAGCUUUCUGCGGAAGUGUCGACAAUCUGGUGGCAUGCUAUGAACCGAGUACACUUACAACUUGUCCUUCAAUAGCAGGUAUUAUUCCGUAUGUGCCAUCAAAAGUACAACUUAAAAGAUCAUAUCAACAAACAUGUGCCCAAAUAGACAGUUUGAUUGAGUUAACUAUUUGCUUUCAAAAAUCUGGAGUUGCAAAUAGUGUGUCAAACUGUUUCAAUAGCGUACUGAACGCGAUCUUAAGCAACCCUGAAAAGUAUGAUUCCGCUGGUUGUGGCGGCUCCGAGGAUCCAUUAUUAAAAUGUAUGAAAGAGGCGAUUCAGGGAAAAUGUAGCCAGAAAGCUAUUGACUUUGUGUCAACUCCACUAACAGUUAUGUGCUCGACAGGAACUAAAAUACUAGCACACAUAUCUACGUUAUUUUGUGUUUAUGUGUUUCUGCGCCUUUUCACUCAUUGACAAGUUUUAUAUAUAGAUAUAUACAGCAUGUUUCACGUCAAAGUUGCAACUUUCUUCGUUAAUUGCUUUUGAUUGUUUUUGUUAAGCCUUUUAAAGUUUUGACGAUGCUCUUGAGUGAGUUGUUUAUCUAUUUGGCUUCGCAAAAUUCACUACCACCGAGUCAGUAGUGCUGGUGUUGGACUACCAGUUCCCAGUGGUACAUGUACCAUGUAUCCAAUUUUAUUGUAUGUUAGUUACUGAUUAGGUUAUUGUACUGAUUUAAACUAUGAUUAAAACUAAGGGGAAAAUUCAAACAGCGGCGCACCCGGAUCCCAUCCCCAUAAAACGGGAAAAAUAUCAAUGUUGGGCAAAAAGCAUAUAAAAAUUGACUUCAAAAAGGCCGCGAUCCAAAUAACCUCAAAAUCCGUCAAUAAAAGAAAACCUAAGAUGUAUUUGACGUAAAACGUUUUUUUUUUUAAUUAUUUGGUUUCCAAACGUAAGAUGUCGAUCGCAUCUUAAAUACAAAAAUAGUGUACACGUAACAAGAUAUUGUUAAACAUUUGAUUAUUAUAAUAAAUAAAUUACAAGUUUUACAAAUG